rnacentral:rRNA from 1 species
AUGGCAGAGAGCCUGGUGCUGGUGGUGGGGAGGCACGGGUGCUACCUCAGCCACGUGGUGAAGCGGCUGUUGCAGGGGCUCGGGGUGAACCCCACCAUGCACGAGGUCGCCGACGAGGCCGAGCUCGCUGCAGCGGUGGCCGGGAACGCUGGAGGCGAGGCCGUCGUCGUGCUGCUGGCGGUGUUCGUCGGUGGGAGGAACCUCGGCGGGCUCGAUCGGCUCAUGGCCGUGCACAUCUCCGGCGAGCUCGUGCCCAUACUCAAGGACGCCGGCACGCUCUGGCUCUAA